AUUGAACGCUGGCGGCAGGCCUAACACAUGCAAGUCGAACGAGUGGCGGACGGGUGAGUAAUGUCUGGGAAACUGCCCGAUGGAGGGGGAUAACUACUGGAAACGGUAGCUAAUACCGCAUACCAUCGGAUGUGCCCAUAUGGGAUUAGCUAGUAGGUGGGGUAACGGCUCACCUAGGCGACGAUCCCUAGCUGGUCUGAGCGGAUGACCAGCCACACUGGAACUGAGACACAGUCCAGACUCCUACGGGAGGAAGCAGUGGGGAAUAUUGCACAAGGGGCGCAAGCCUGAUGCAGCCAUGCCGCGUGGAUGAAGAAGGCCUUCGGGUUGUAAAGUACGUUCAGCGGGGAGGCGUUACUCGCAUAAUAAGUACUGGCUAACUCCGUGCCAGCAGCCGCGGUAAUUC
rnacentral:rRNA from 1 species